GAAAGAAAAACCACACACCGCCCCUCCUCUCCAUCCACCCCUCGACCUCUCUCUUUCCCUCUGCUCGUGCUCGGGCGCCGCCCCCAUCUCCCGCUCCGGCGGUGCCCCUACUGCUCUGCCGAGCCGACCUCUUCUUAGGGCGUGUCGGCAGGAGCAGAUCCACCUCUCCACUCCCUCUCGCGAUAGCGCUCCAGACCCCCACCCCACGCCCGGCCGCCGCUAGGGUAUCUUACCCUCGCUGCCCCGCCGCCACCUCUCCUCGCUUUCCCCCACCCCCGCCACACUGUUUGCCCUCUCAUGUUUCGAUCUGGAAAGCGGGAGAGGAUGAGCUGAUCUUCAAGGCGUCGAGCUCUGAGCGACAGCGACGGUGAAUGGGCAGCGCGGGCCUCGAGCAGGAUCAUGGGAGAGCAGGGGAGGCUGGAGGCUGCUCAUCAUAUCCACCCCCAUCACAUAGCCGCCCUCGCUCGCCAAGAAACUGAUGAGGGGGUCUGACCUCAGUGACCACUCUGGACGACACCUUUCCCCACCAGGCUCAUCCUCCUAAUUCGUUUUAAUCAUUCGAAUUUUUUUGUGUGACCACAGUUGAGAAAUACGAUGAUAUGAAUACAUCAAGGUGUUUUGAUUCUCCCCAUUCUGUAUGUUUGCAAUGGAGUGUAUAUAUUGUUGAUUUAUGUCAUGGUGUUUGAUUUUGAUCGCAAAGGAUUCAUGCAGAGAGAAAGUGCAAAAGCUAUGGGCAACUCCUAUAUGACUGGCGCCAUCGCAUGUGGAGAGGAAUGACACUCACGGGCAAUUGUUGGCGUGAGCUGAUGCGAUCCCGCUGUGGCAAUUGGGAUGGGUAGAUGGGGAGGCAUGGUGGAGGCCGGUGGCAGCAUAUGGCAAGAUAACAAUGAGCGAGGCGGCGGCAGUGUACGGUGGCACGACCAUUGUGUGGCAGCCGUCGCAUAGACGUCGAAGGAGCACCAGCGACGCAUGCACACACACACACACUGCUGGUGCUGCUGGAGGCUAUGGGGCUGAGCGAGGAUGCGAGUGGGCUGGUAGCAUUACUAUCAAAAACACCGGCAUGGGUUGAUUCUUGGUAUCUAUAAUGCACGCGGCACGCCAUGGUCGUCUUCCACCACACUGCGGCCGCCACACGACGCCUCCAACCCUCCAAAGCAUGUCACCUCAAUGGUCGCCGUCGCCUCGUACUCCAGCUCUCCCAGCCACUGCCGCAGGUCGCCGCCUCUGUCCCUCCAAAGAACAGCGCCUCUCUGGUUGCAGCCUCCUUCCCACGGAGACCAACGACGGGGAGGAGGAGCUGGGCGAGGCAGGGAGGCCAAGGGCGAAGUGCAGUGGGAGCUUCAUUCGGAUAGAACGUGGUGUAGCCUUGUAGGUCAAGGGUUGACUCGUUAACAUCUUGCAGGCCUAAUAUGUGAAAGGAUAUAGUUGAUACGUCUCCAACGUAUCUAUAAUUUUUAAUUGUUCCAUACUAUUAUAUUAUCUGUUUUGGAUGUUAAUGAGCUUAUUUAUACAUUUUUAUAUUA